AACCUUAUGGACCUGCGGGCGUAUACCUGCGGAGGGAUCAUUAGUGAAUAAACAAGUGUGGGUUGUGCUGACCUUCUGGUAUGUGCACGCCUGCCAAUGUUUUAUUUCCUUCUUCCCACCUGUGCACUUUGUGUAGACCAUGUAUGCUAUUUUCAGGCCUUCCAAGGCUUGGUUUGGAGGGGUUGCUUGUUUGUAAUGAAUGGGCUCCUCUUGGGUAUGCAGGGUCUAUGUUUUAUACCA
rnacentral:misc_RNA from 1 species